ACCUCUACACACCUGCACACGCCUGCACAUUGACACACCUGCGCACACCUGUGCACACCUGUGAGUGCCUGCACACACCUGCGCACACCUGUGAGGACUUGUACAUACCUGUACACACCUGUACACACCUGCACAAAGCAUGUACUGUAACUCAGCUCACCUGCACACACCUGUACACACCUGUACACACACCUUUGCACACCUGCACACACCUGCACACACCUGCACACACCUGUACACACCUGUACACACACCUUUGCACACCUGCACACACCUGCACACACCUGCACACACCUGCACACACCUGUACACACACGUUUGCACACCUGCACACACCUGUACACACUUGUGCACACCUGCACACACCUGCGCAGGGCGCACCUGUGCACCUGUGCACUGACACGCAUUGUACCUGUAUGGCACACCUGUACAUUGACACACCUGUACACACCUUUAGGCACCCAUGAAUACCUGCACACACCUGCGCACACCUGAACACACCUGUACACACCUGUGCUUUGCACACCUGUGCACCUGGGCACUGACACGCAUUGUACCUGCACUGCACACCUGUACACACCUGUACAAUGCGCACCUGCACACCUGUGCUUUGCACACCUGCACACCUGGGCACACCUGUGCACCGGUGCACCUGUGUGCACCUGUGCUUUGCACACCUGUACCGCUGCGCAUGGCCCACAUUACACCUGUACUGCACACCUGUACACACCUGCACACACCUGUGCACCUGGGCACUGACACGCAUUGUACCUGUAUUGCACACCUGCACACCUGUGCAAUGCACACCUGCGCACCUGUGCUUUGCACACCUGCACCGCUGUGCAUGGCCCACACUACACCUGUACGGCACACCUGACGCACCUGCGCACACCUGUCCAAUGCAAACUUGCACACACCUGUGCAGUGCACACCUGUCCAAUGCACACUUGCACACCUGUGCAAUACACACCUGCACACACCGGUGCAUGGCCCACAUUACACCUGUACUGCACACCUGCACACACCUGCGCACACCUGAACACAACUGCGCACACCUGAUACACCUGUACACACCUGACACACCCACCCAGGUGCACCCCCACAGGUGCCCCCAGAUACCCCCAGGUGUCCCAGGUGUGCCCAGGUGUGUCCCAGAUACCCCCAGGUGUGCCAAGGUGUGUCCCAGGUGUGCCCAGGUGUGACCCCCCUCACCUGGGCCAGGCUGGGCCCCCCCAAUUCAGGUACCGCAGGUCCGGGAGCUCCGCCCCUUUCUGGCCACGCCCCCGGGCACACCUGAGCCUGGCCACGCCCCUUGGGCACACCUGGCCACGCCCCCGGGCACACCUGAGCCUGGCCACGCCCCCGGGCACACCUGGCCACGCCCCCGGGCACACCUGAGCCUGGCCACGCCCCCGGGCACACCUGGCCACGCCCCCGGGCACACCUGAACCUGGCCACGCCCCCGGGCACACCUGGGUUGGUCACGCCCCUUGGGCACAGCAGGGCCUGGCCACGCCCCCCAGGCACACCUGGGCCUGGCCACGCCCCCCGGGCACACCUGGGCCUGGCCACGCCCCCGGGCAUACCUGGCCGCGCCCCCGGGCACACCUGGCUGCGCCCCCGGGCACACCUGGGCCUGGCCACGCCCCCGGGCACACCUGGGUUGGUCACGCCCCUUGGGCACACCUGGCCACGCCCCCGGCGCACCUGGGCCUGGCCACGCCCCCGGGCACACCUGGCCACACCCCCGGGCACACCUGGCCACGCCCCCGGCGCACCUGGGCCUGGCCACGCCCCCGGGCACACCUGGCUGCGCCCCCGGGCACACCUGGGCCUGGCCACGCCCCCGGGCACACCUGGCCACGCCCCCGGCGCACCUGGGCACGCCCCCGGGCACACCUGGGCCUGGCCACGCCCCCGGGCACACCUGGCCACGCCCCCGGCGCACCUGGGCACGCCCCCGGGGUUUUGGGGCCAAUCCGAGCGGUUUCUGGACAAGCACAAGCGGCCCCCGCGGCCCCCCCGGCCCCGCGGCCAAUAAAGGGACGAACCCGGCCCGGCUCCGCCUCCCU
ensembl:lncRNA